GAAUUAUCGAAGUUUCGAAAUAUUCGUUUUAACAAAAGCUCGAAUUGUGCGAUUCAAGAAAAAUCGACUUUUCUACGUACGGAAUUUGGGAAAACUUCCUUCAUAAAAGUUGUAGAGCUCGUCGAUAUGAUCGCGUGCAUAUGUCGAACGAAAUUUUUGGAGUUCGUACGAUUAUGUUACGAAUUUUGGAAAUAUGAGAUUCUUUUUAUAAUCUCUUUUCCUCGGAUUCUCUUUUAGAAAUUUCUUUUUCUUCCUUUUCCUUUUUCUUUUCCUUUCCUCCGGGUCUCCUUCCUUCUUUUUCUUUUUCUCUUUAUUUUUCUUCUUUCUCUCUCUCGCUCGACCGAAACCGAAAACAGAGCAAAGGCUCUUCGGUCUCUCUCUACCUCCACCGGCCACCAAACGGCGUCGAACCACUUCCUUUUGCUUCGUCUCAGCCUUGCGCAGCUGCCAGAGGCAGCCUUGCACCGUGACACGGCCACCAGCGGCUGCGGGAAGCUCCGCCCGGUUUGAGCUCGUUUUGGAAACAAGCUUGAUAUCUCUCGAUUCCGGCCACCAGUCCUCGUCAGACUUCUUCCAUUGGCUUCGCCUUGACCUUGCGCACCUGUCUGUGGCAGCCUUGCACCGCGGCGCGGCCUGUAGCGGCGGAGGGAAGCUCGGCCCGAUUUGAGUUCGAUUUUGAGUCAACGCUGAUAUCUCGAGUUCUAGGCGACCAAUCUUCAAUAUUCUUGGACUGGUGAACUCAGAUUGAGGAUAUGAACAAGUUUCAUGAAGAGAUCGAGCUGAGUGGUGGAACUUUUUACGUCGAAUGGAGCACCCGCCGGUUUCUGGAAAAUUUCCGGCCAAACCCAACUGUUCUAGGUGAUCGACGGUUUGAUUUGGCGGACGAUUCGUGAAAUUGUAUUUUGAGCUGUUAAGAAGACGCAGCGGGAAUUUAGAGCGGGAAAUCCUACAGGUCAGGAAGAUCAAGGCGGAGAUCGUGCGGGUUAGAGUUUUUGUUUCAGUUUACAGCUUUGUAAAUUGUGAGAUGUAUUAUUGAGAGUUGUGAAGUGUGGUUGUUGUGAGAAAAAAAUUCAGGACGUUUAUUCUAUUAAGUUGUAUAAUUCAUGUUUUCGGAUUUUAAUUGUAUUUAAAAUUCGGGGCGUGACAGUUUGGUAUCAGAGCGUAAGGUGCAUAUUUGGUGAUGUGUCAAUACCUUCCGAGUGAUGGCCCGUCUGCAGCGGAUCCCCAUCGUGUGCUCUUCGGUAUUGGCUAAGUCACUGGGUAUGCGUGAGUGUUGGGAGUUGUUUAGGCCGCUAGGUCGUUUAGGGAACGUGAUUACCUUCCCUAUAGUAUUGACUUGGUUAAUAUGAAUUUGUAUUUGACUUAUACUGUGUUUUAAGUGUUAUACAUGUCUUAGCCAAGCAUACUAUACUCCUUAGGUGAUGGAUAUUCGAAGGGGUUGUACUUAGAACCUUACAGUUGUCUUGUAGGUUCGUAUUGGAAUAAGUUCAGUGACCGCGAGUCACAAUCCUUGAGGAAUAGGAACCUCUUGAUUCAACUCUGUUAAGUCAACGAGGAUUGUUUUAUGGAAAUGAAGUUCUUUCGUAUGUUGAAGUGUUUGGUUGGAGGCAUGAUGUUGACCUAUGCAUGUACCUAGGUUGGAUACGAGUAUAAAUUGAUGGAGAUUUUUCCUUCUUAAGUUGGAUAUACAGAUGUUUUUGGAUGGGAUGUACGUAUCAAGGACUAAAUAUCUUGUUUUGUAAUGAGAUGUCCUUGUGGAGUUUGUUAGUAGGGUUGAGGUUAGGGAAGAAAUUAUUGUGGUUACUUCUUCCUUGUGCUUGUAAGUUGUUAAGCAGGGUCUAAGGUGCGAGACAAGAGUUUUAUUUUGUGCUCGAUGGUUAGAGAUGAGAGACCAUUGUUUUGGGUUGUCGUUGAGUACUAUAAUUCCUUCAGAAUCAGGAUUGUUGGUAGAAUUGGAAUUAGUAGUAGUUUUGGUGAUUCGGAAUUUGAAUUGAGUUCGCGAGAUGUGUCUUAUAUACGUGGUUGAUGUUGCUUGCAUCAUUUUGGAACGAUACGUUACGAUUCACAAGGAAAACUGGAUUUGAAAUUUAUUCAUUUGAACACCAUGGGUUGAUGACCUGACCGUGACUUGUGAAUAUAGUUUUGUUCAAGUGAAUGAAAUUGAAUUUUGUGGCCCUUGUGUGGUGAACUAGUUUUCUUAAGUUUUGGAUCGCAGUAUGGAGAUGGACUGCAGUGAAUUUGAAGUUGUUGUGUGUUUUAAGUUUAAGUAGGCGGGACACUUAAAGUUUUGCAAUGGAGUUGAUUUUGGUGUAAUUAAUUGGGAGAGUUAGAAUCAGUUCUUGUGAAUGAUGUUGGAUGAGAGUGUGUGCCUUUGGUGAUUGAUUUUAGGUGAUAUAGUUAAACGCAAUUUCGGAUAUUGAUUUUAGUGACUUUGUUAGGUAUCCAUAGUGGUUCAAGUGAAUUACUAUGUGAUAUGGAGUUUGAUUCGAUUUCUGAAUCGCUAAAUGUUAGGGAUUGAAUUGUGGUGAGUUUUUGUUGAAGCAAUUGAUAGAUGGAAUUAUCGAGAUUCUAUAAGAGUUGUAAGAGUAACUCUAAAGACGUGGGUUUUCCUAGCUAACUCAGGAUGUGUUUAGCUUUAUAAAUCCCUAAUCCUAUCGAUGAAAUUGUUUGUGUUUGGUUUGACUCAGAGGAUACUAGCUAGAUCUCGAUGCGACAUAUUUGAUUGUUGGAUUCUUUUUGAGUGAUUGUUUUUAUUGCAUCAUUAUGAAAGAUGUGUGCAGUAGAGUUGUUUAUGGUUUUGAAAAUAGUAUUGGGUGACCAAGGUUCGAUCCUUGGUGUUGUUGUUGGUUAAACAAACAGGAAAGAAAACAUGCACACCAUCUUAUUGAGUUUAUAUUACAAAAAAAAAAAAAAAAAAAAAAAAAAAAAAAAAAAGGAAAACGAGGACUAUGCUGUACUAAGCCUAGUCAGCAGCUCCGGAUGGGUUGAGGCUGAGCUCAAGAGAAACUGGAGAUCCACGGUUGUAACCGCCUGAGCCACCGAAAUAGUAAUCAUGUGCACUACCUUCCUCGGAAGUAGUCUUCAGGUUACCAAAGACGUCCUCGCCGUGCACGGGGAACAGAGGAAGAGUUUGAACCUCCUGGUGAUCUCCUCCUCGUUGUUGCAGGGAUGUUUGUCCUCCUGUUGUGCCAAAAGAGUUGUACUAGUAUUAGUGUUGAAGUGUGAGGAAGAAUAUGAAACAGAAUUUAAAUCAAGAAAUCCUUCAUUACCAGUAGAAUAGGUGGAACCAAAGUUGAGAUCAAUGGAUCUACC